UGUUCUGUAGCUAAGUUGGUUAAAGCGCCGGUCUAGCGUACACGGAGUCGUGAGUUCGAGUCUCACUAGAACGC
rnacentral:tRNA from 1 species